rnacentral:rRNA from 1 species
UACAGAGGUCUCAAGCGUUGUUCGGAUUCAUUGGGCGUAAAGGGUGCGUAGGCGGCGCGGUAAGUCGGGUGUGAAAUCUCGGAGCUUAACUCCGAAACUGCAUUCGAUACUGCCGUGCUUGAGGACUGGAGAGGAGACUGGAAUUCCUGGUGUAGCGGUGAAAUGCGCAGAUAUCAGGAGGAACACCGAUGGCGAAGGCAGGUCUCUGGGCCACUACUGACGCUCAUGCACGAAAGCGUGGGGAGCAAACAGG